rnacentral:lncRNA from 1 species
UAGAGGGGUGCACAGGGAGUGGCACGGCAAAGGGAAUUGCCCCUCAGGAGCAGAGGGUUAUGUCAGAGGGGAGGCACGAACCAGGUCGCAUAGCACUUUCUAGGACGUAAUGAGUGUGGAUUCUAUGUUGCCAUGGGAAGCCAGCAUCCUUGCACGAGGUGGUUAAGUGCUGAGAGAAGAUAAAUCAGAUUAAGGGGCUAGAGACAGACUGGAAGCCUGGGGAAGCUAUUUGAAACAAAUGGGCAGAGGAGCUCUCUCUGAGGAAGUGACUUUAGGGCUGAGUCUUGAAAUAUCUGAAGUAGCGACCAUGCAGAUUUCUGGGAUAAGCCAGUUCCAGGCAGAAAAAAUAGCACUGAAGUGGGAAUAAGCAUCACAUAUCCUGGAAAGAGCAAGAAGGUCAGCGUGGCCAGGGCACAAUACCAGAGGAAGCAGGGGGAGGAGGCCAGCCCUGUGGAGGCCGUGGGACGGUACUUGGCUUUUAUUCUAAAUACACUGGGAAGAUUUUCGAGGACUCUUGCUUGUUUUUCGAGGGAACUGGCUGAAAACCCAGUAGAUUUUGGUGGCUGUUCUUGACUAAGAAGAGUGUGGAACAAAGUCACAGAGCCACGGCCCCAGACAAGACCUGGAUGAAGCGCUACAGCCUGGUAGUGCCAAGACUGGGAGGGAAAGAGAAGAGCGCUAUGAGACAGAAUCCAGAAGCAAGGAGAGGAAGGAAAGGCCUUGGACCCCCUAAGGAGAAGGAGG